UCGUAACCCCUCAUUUUCAGCAACUGAAUCAGUACUUUCAGCUUUCAGCAAUUGAAUCGGGUAAACACAGAAUAUACAUUUUAUAUAAACUCCGAUCUCAGUUUCAAAAUUAAGAACCCUCUAUCUCUCCAAACUCUCAUCUGCGAUCUAAAGCAUCGUAGCCUCAACACACUACCUCUGAAUCGUCUCAUUGUUUUGAAAAUGAAUCGCCAUAUGUUGUUUGUCCCUUCGUUUCCUUCCCACCUUUAAAACCAUAAACCCUAAUGUAAUUCAGCCUCCACCACAUAUUACUCCCCAAAUCCUAUCAUCUCUUUUUAGAACAAGUUCUCCCAAUUUCUACCAUGACUUUUCUUUCUGUCCAAAGGAAAUCAGCCGCCACCAUACCUCUAAUACGUUCCACACCAUUGAACCCUAAUGCCACCACAACCUUUCCAUCUCUACUUGCUUCUAUGUCACCUUCAACUACUGUAGUGUCAUCACCACCACAAAAAACCCACAAUCGUCACUCUUUGAUUCAAAAAGUGAAAUGUGGAGUACGAUCCCUCCUCUCUCCUCAACCAUCGUAUUAUUGCACCGCCAACACACCACUGUGUCACCGCCUCUUCACCGACUUGACUCCUUUAAACCCCACGCCCACCCCCAAACUGUUUUCACCACUCGAUUCUUUAUAAACCCUUUUCACUCACUAUAAACGAUUAAAUAGUACCAGGACCGAUUAAAAAUAAAUUGGUUUUCGACAACAAAACAUGGACACCAUCAUCGUCCCUUCAACCACAAGUAUCGUGGUAUUAUAUCAUAUGGUGCGUCAUUUUAAAUCUUUUCGAAUUCUCAGUUCUAAUUAAGGUAAACCAAAGGUAUCUCUUCAUGUUUGUCUUCUGAACUGAAACUUCAUUGAUCUUGAGUUAACAAACCUUAAAAUCUAAACAUUUUUAUGCUAUGUAUGUCUUAUUUUUUCUGCUUAUAUUUAUGCACUGGUAUGUAAUAAUAUGCGCAAACCUUGGUGUGGAAAAGUUUUUUCCUAUUGCUUCAUUUUUAGAUAAGUUUGGUAGAGAAAAGUUUUAUCUAUGGUAUGAACAUUAUAUAACACAGUUAUAAUGUAUGUCUCAAUCACAAAGUUUGUUGUCAUAGUUCGCAGCUUUACCUGAGAACCACAUGUUUUUAUAAUCGAACAUUUUUUGUCCAUGGCCAUUUGGUUGAAAGUUAAUAGUUCGGGUCUGUUUUAAUCAUAUUCAACAACACCAGAAGUGUGACAAUCAUACCAAAAGAAACCGGGUUAAUCGUUCAACAGGUCUGUUGUAACCUAAACUUUGUUUUAAAUGAACAUAUUUUAAAAAAGGAAAAUACUCUUUUAUCCUAACAUAUUUAUUGUUUUCACAUUCAGGUUAAGUAAUGGAGGUAUUGUUGUGAUAUCACCAGGAACAAACUCCAUGUUUUGUAUAUUGAGACCUGAGAUACUUUAAACAUUUCUUGAGCAUUUUUUUUCUAUUUAGAGUUAAUGCAUACUUUAACCUCAAUCUCCUUAGCUUAACGACUAAAGUCUUCUUUAGUUUUUCUUAUAUUUGGACUAAAUGGUAAAUUUUAACUGUUUAGUAGGAUUUAGUUUGUUUGAUACAUUAAAGAAUUAGAUGGGGAUUGCUUGUAUGAGGUUUUAGACUUUACGGAAGCCAAGGAAACUAUAUGCAAAUAUUAAAAGUUGUCAAGGAAACUAUAUGCCCACUGUUGACAUGAAUCAAUACUUUUGUAUUGUUUUUCAGAUUUUUUAAGUAGACCAAAAGGGAAAAGUGGUUGUAUGGCAGUUUUGUUGGUACUGAUAGCUGCUAAGAUGUUAAGAUAGAGGUAGCGUUUGGAUUUUAGUUGUGGUGGCUGGUUUGAUUUUAUUUAUUUUCUAUUAUUUCACUUAUAAACCAAGUAUAAUAACAAUGCGACCUAAGCAAUGUUGAUUGGUUAUGUGUAUUAGUCUGAUGGUUAAUCAACAAAAUACCUGUCAAUUAGACCUUAGUGAAUAUGUAUGUUACUUACAUUACUUAAUUUGAUAAUGAUAUUUUUUUUUAUCUGUAUAGGGCAUCAUGAUCACAAACACAGUUGCAGUCAAACCGAUGCUAAAGAUGCCUUUAAAUUUCACAGCACCGCAACAUCAUGGGAACUAAGCCCUGUGGCAAAAUUGUCAAGUCUAAGUUUUGAUCCAAACAUAGCAUUGUAAUUCCAAUUUAUUUUUUAACUGAACAUUAUAUCAAUUCAUAAAAAAAAUAUUAUACGUUUCAUUUUUGUAAUAGAUUCAGAAUGUAAAUCAAAAUCUUGCAGAUUUUUUGGUUUUUGUA